UACGUAGGGUGCAAGCGUUAAUCGGAAUUACUGGGCGUAAAGCGUGCGUAGGCGGUAUUGAGAGUCACGGGUGAAAUCCCAGAGCUUAACUCUGGACGUGCCUGUGAGACCUCAGUACUAGAGUGUGGAAGGGGAUAGUGGAAUUCCCAGUGUAGCGGUGAAAUGCGUAGAGAUUGGGAGGAACACCAGUGGCGAAGGCGGCUAUCUGAUCCACAACUGACGCUCAGGCACGAAAGCGUGGGGAGCAAACAGGAUUAGAAACCCGGGUAGU
rnacentral:rRNA from 1 species